rnacentral:rRNA from 1 species
UUGAACGCUGGCGGCAGGCCUAACACAUGCAAGUCGAGCGGAUGAAGGGAGCUUGCUCCUGGAUUCAGCGGCGGACGGGUGAGUAAUGCCUAGGAAUCUGCCUGGUAGUGGGGGAUAACGUCCGGAAACGGGCGCUAAUACCGCAUACGUCCUGAGGGAGAAAGUGGGGGAUCUUCGGACCUCACGCUAUCAGAUGAGCCUAGGUCGGAUUAGCUAGUUGGUGGGGUAAAGGCCUACCAAGGCGACGAUCCGUAACUGGUCUGAGAGGAUGAUCAGUCACACUGGAACUGAGACACGGUCCAGACUCCUACGGGAGGCAGCAGUGGGGAAUAUUGGACAAUGGGCGAAAGCCUGAUCCAGCCAUGCCGCGUGUGUGAAGAAGGUCUUCGGAUUGUAAAGCACUUUAAGUUGGGAGGAAGGGCAGUAAGUUAAUACCUUGCUGUUUUGUCGUUACCAACAGAAUAAGCACCGGCUAACUUCGUG